AUUGAACGCUGGCGGUAUGCCUAACACAUGCAAGUCGAACGGCAGCACAGUAAAGAUUUCGGUCUUUAUGGGUGGCGAGUGGCGGACGGGUGAGUAAUGCAUCGGAACGUGCCCAGUCGUGGGGGAUAACGUAGCGAAAGUUACGCUAAUACCGCAUACGACCUGAGGGUGAAAGUGGGGGACCGCAAGGCCUCACGCGAUUGGAGCGGCCGAUGUCAGAUUAGCUAGUUGGUGGGGUAAAGGCCUACCAAGGCGACGAUCUGUAGCGGGUCUGAGAGGAUGAUCCGCCACACUGGGACUGAGACACGGCCCAGACUCCUACGGGAGGCUG
rnacentral:rRNA from 1 species